AUUGAACGCUGGCGGCAUGCCUUACACAUGCAAGUCGAACGGUAACAGGCCGCAAGGUGCUGACGAGUGGCGAACGGGUGAGUAAUGCAUCGGAACGUGCCCAGUAGUGGGGGAUAGCCCGGCGAAAGCCGGAUUAAUACCGCAUACGACCUGAGGGUGAAAGGGGGGGAUCGCAAGACCUCUCGCUAUUGGAGCGGCCGAUGUCAGAUUAGCUAGUUGGUGGGGUAAAGGCCUACCAAGGCAACGAUCUGUAGUUGGUCUGAGAGGACGACCAGCCACACGGGGACUGAGACACGGCCCAGACUCCUACGGGAGGCAGCAGUGAGGAAUUUUGGACAAUGGGCGCAAGCCUGAUCCAGCAAUGCCGCGUGCAGGAAGAAGGCCUUCGGGUUGUAAACUGCUUUUGUCAGGGAAGAAAUCUUCUGGGUUAAUACCUCGGGAGGAUGACGGUACCUGAAGAAUAAGCACCGGCUAACUACGUGCCAGCCGCCGCAGUAAGAC
rnacentral:rRNA from 1 species